UGAGGAAUAUUGGUUAAUGGCCGGGAGGCUGAACCAGCCAAGUCGCGUGAGGGAAGACGGCCCUACGGGUUGUAAACCUCUUUUGUCGGGGAGCAAAUUCCGCCACGUGUGGCGGAGUCNAGAGUACCCGAAGAAAAAGCAUCGGCUAACUCCGUGCCAGCAGCCGCGGUAAUACGGAGGAUGCGAGCGUUAUCCGGAUUUAUUGGGUUUAAAGGGUGCGUAGGCGGACUGUCAAGUCAGCGGUAAAAUACGGGGGCUCAACCUCCGCCCGCCGUUGAAACUGACGGUCUUGAGUGGGCGAGAAGUAUGCGGAAUGCGUGGUGUAGCGGUGAAAUGCAUAGAUAUCACGCAGAACUCCGAUUGCGAAGGCAGCAUACCGGCGCCCAACUGACGCUGAAGCACGAAAGCGUGGGUAUCGAACAGG
rnacentral:rRNA from 1 species